rnacentral:rRNA from 1 species
GUGGGGAAUAUUGGACAAUGGGCGAAAGCCUGAUCCAGCCAUGCCGCGUGAGUGAUGAAGGCCUUAGGGUUGUAAAGCUCUUUUGUCCGGGAAGAUAAUGACUGUACCGGAAGAAUAAGCCCCGGCUAACUUCGUGCCAGCAGCCGCGGUAAUACGAAGGGGGCUAGCGUUGCUCGGAAUCACUGGGCGUAAAGGGCGCGUAGGCGGCCAAGCAAGUCAGAGGUGAAAGCCUGAGGCUUAACCUCAGAACUGCCUUUGAUACUGCUUGGCUAGAGACCGGAAGAGGUAAGUGGAACUGCGAGUGUAGAGGUGAAAUUCGUAGAUAUUCGCAAGAACACCAGUGGCGAAGGCGGCUUACUGGUCCGGUUCUGACGCUGAGGCGCGAAAGCGUGGGGAGCAAACAGG